GUGCCAGCAGCCGCGGUAAUACAGAGGUCCCAAGCGUUGUUCGGAUUCACUGGGCGUAAAGGGUGCGUAGGUGGCAGGGUAAGUUUGAUGUGAAAUCUCCGAGCUCAACUCGGAAACUGCAUUGAAUACUAUCCUGCUUGAGGAUUGGAGGGGAGACUGGAAUUCUCGGUGUAGCAGUGAAAUGCGUAGAUAUCGAGAGGAACACCAGUGGCGAAGGCGAGUCUCUAGACAACUCCUGACACUGAGGCACGAAAGCUAGGGGAGCAAACAGGAUUAGAUACCCUGGUAGUCC
rnacentral:rRNA from 1 species